GGAUGUGAGGGUGAUCUGGCUGCGACAUCUGUCACCCCAUUGAUCACCAGGGUUGACUUGGCUGAUCUGGCUGGCUAGGCGGGUGUCCCCUUCCUCACUCACAGCUCCAUGUGUGUCCCUCCCAAAGCUGCGCGCUCGGUCGAAGAGGACGGCCUUCCCCGAAUAGAGACGGGCCCUGCUAGAACCUCCAAACAAGCUCUCCAGAUUUCUGGGCCUUGACUUCCUAGAACUGACCAGACUAUCUCCCCAUCCCUUGGGGUAUUCUGAUUUCCCUGCCAGCCCUUCUAAACUUGCCCCAAAG
rnacentral:sRNA from 1 species